AGCGGCGAACGGGUGAGUAACACGUGGGUAAUCAACCCUCGACACUGGGAUAGCCCGGGGAAACCCGGAUUAAUACCGGAUGGCCCAGCAGCUCUUCGGGGCGGCUGGAAAAGGUAGCUUCGGCCUCCGGUCGAGGACGAGCCCGCGGCGGAUUAGCUUGUUGGUGGGGUAACGGCCCACCAAGGCGACGAUCCGUAGCUGGUCUGAGAGGACGAUCAGCCACACUGGGACUGAGACACGGCCCAGACUCCUACGGGAGGCAGCAGUGGGGAAUCUUGCACAAUGGGCGAAAGCCUGAUGCAGCGACGCCGCGUGAGGGAAGAAGGCUUUCGGGUUGUAAACCUCUUUCAGGAGGGACGAAGCCACUCGGGUUAAUAGCCCAGAGGGUGACGGUACCUCCAGAAGAAGCCCCGGCUAACUACGUGCCAGCAGCCGCGGUAAUACGUAGGGGGCAAGCGUUGUCCGGAUUUAUUGGGCGUAAAGAGCGUG
rnacentral:rRNA from 1 species